CUCUUUACCAGUUCAAACCUCUCAUUGUGGGGAAAGCAGUAAAAAUACACAACCAAGCUACCGUUGCCUACCUGAACAAAUAAGGAGAUACAAGGAUAAGAAAGUUGCACAUUCUUUGCACACAAAUUAUGUCAUGGGCUCAAAGUCAUCUUGAAGAAAUUUUCUACCCAUUUAAGAGGGAUAGACAACAUCAUUGCAGACGACUUAAGCAGAUCAAGAUGGUCCCAGAGCGAAUGGUCUCUGAAUACGGUCAUUUUUUAUCAGCUGGUGAAAUUAUUCGGUCUACCUGUCCUAGAUCUCAUGGCGAGAAGGUCGAAC